rnacentral:misc_RNA from 1 species
GAUGAAGAACGCAGCGAAAUGCGAUAAGUAAUGUAAAUUGCAGAAUUCAGUGAAUCAUCGAAUCUUUGAACGCACAUUGCGCCCGCCAGUAUUCUGGCGGGCAUGCCUGUUCGAGCGUCAUUACAACCCUCAGGCCCCCGGGCCUGGCGUUGGGGAUCGGCGGAAGCCCCCUGCGGGCACAACGCCGUCCCCCAAAUACAGUGGCGGUCCCGCCGCAGCUUCCAUUGCGUAGUAGCUAACACCUCGCAACUGGAGAGCGGCGCGGCCACGCCGUAAAACCCCCAACUUCUGAAUGUUGACCUCGAAUCAGGUAGGAAUACCCGCUGAACUUAAGCAUAUCAAUAAGCGGAGGA